UACGUAGGUGGCAGGCGUUGUCCGGAAUUAUUGGGCGUAAAGGGCGUGUAGGUGGGUUACUAAGUCGUGUGUCUAAGUGCGAAGCUCAACUUCGUAUAGGCGCAGGAAACUGGUAAUCUUGAGUGCAGGAGAGGAAAGUGGAAUUCCCAGUGUAGCGGUGAAAUGCGUAGAUAUUGGGAGGAACACCAGUGGCGAAGGCGACUUUCUGGACUGUGUCUGACACUGAGGCGCGAAAGCCAGGGGAGCGAACGGG
rnacentral:rRNA from 1 species